GACGAACGCUGGCGGCGUGCUUAACACAUGCAAGUCGAGCGGUAAGGCCCUUUCGGGGGCAACACGAGCGGCGAACGGGUGAGUAACACGUGGGUGACCUGCCCUCAGCUCUGGGAUAAGCCAGGGAAACUGGGUCUAAUACUGGAGUAUGACUCCACGGUGCAUGUCGUGGGGUGGAAAGCCUUGUGCGGCUGAGGAUGGGCCCGCGGCCUAUCAGCUUGUUGGUGGGGUGAUGGCCUACCAAGGCGACGACGGGUAGCCGGCCUGAGAGGGCGACCGGCCACACUGGGACUGAGACACGGGCCCAG
rnacentral:rRNA from 1 species